rnacentral:rRNA from 1 species
UACGAGGGGGGCAAGCGUUGUUCGGAUUUAUUGGGCGUAAAGGGUGCGUAGGCGGUUUGGCAAGUCUUGUGUGAAAUCUUCGGGCUCAACCCGAAGCCUGCACAAGAAACUGCCGGGCUUGAGUAUGGGAGAGGUGAGUGGAAUUUCCGGUGUAGCGGUGAAAUGCGUAGAUAUCGGAAGGAACACCUGUGGCGAAAGCGGCUCACUGGACCAUAACUGACGCUGAUGCACGAAAGCUAGGGGAG